rnacentral:rRNA from 1 species
GAUGAACGCUAGCUACAGGCUUAACACAUGCAAGUCGAGGGGUAACAAGAGAAAAGCUUGCUUUUCUUGUUGACGACCGGCGCACGGGUGAGUAACGCGUAUCCAACCCGCCUAUAACUAGGGAAUAACCUUGCGAAAGUAAGACUAAUACCCUAUGAUUUCCUUUGAUGACAUCAGAUUAGGAAUAAAGAUUUAUCGGUUAUAGAUGGGGAUGCGUCUGAUUAGCUUGUUGGCGGGGUAACGGCCCACCAAGGCAACGAUCAGUAGGGGUUCGAGGAGGAAGGUCCCCCACAUUGGAACUGAGACACGGUCCAAACGCCUACGGGAGGCAGCAGUGAGGAAUAUUGGUCAAUGGGCGGAAGCCUGAACCAGCCAAGUAGCGUGCAGGAUGACGGCCCUAUGGGUUGUAAACUGCUUUUAUACAGGAAUAAAGUUAGCCACGUGUGGUUAUUUGUAGGUUCUGUAUGAAUAAGGACCGGCUAAUUCCGUGCCAGCCGCCGCGGUAA